AUUUAAAAUAUGACUCCAACUAAGCCUAAAACUUUUCCAGCCAAUAGCUUACCUUUGAGGCGGUCUUAAUUGACUAGGAUAGUAUUAAAUAAUGGAGAAAACAACUUGAAAGAAGGCUGAACUCAUAGAGACCUAAUCCAGCCAACCAAAACACUUUAAAAAUAACUAAAA